CUUACUGUUUCCUCUGGAUUCUUCAUCUCGGGGCAAGAUACCUCUGUCUUCCCGGUCAGUGAAGCUGGAAAUUUCAGACCGCUCCAGCUGCAUACCAAAACUGAGAACUGGUUGCACGUACCUCCCAUCCCCAGCUGGACUCCUCUAGCUAGAUUGUAAGCUCUUUGAGAGCAGGGACAGUUUCCAAAUCAUCUCUACCUUGUUUGUUGGAUGAAGAAAACAAUGAGGACUUACUGUGAGGAAACAUCUAGCUUCAGCACCAGUGGUUGUCCGGAGUCUCAAGAAUGGUCCUUGCCUUCUUUGCAAACCCUGCUCAUCUAGAACCCUGCUCGGAUCCAAUUCAGCUAUAGUAAUGUUCUGCAGAGUAUAUGAGUCUCCGCGCUGAAGAUGAUUGAAUCAGAAGUGGACAAUGGCCCAACCUCAACCUCCUCUCCUCUUUGGGAAAUACCUAAGCUGCGGUUGUGUCUAGAACCGCGAUCCCUUGCCAGCUGUCUUCUUCCUCUUCCGCUCAAGAGGAAGCUGCCUUUUUCCAGGUUAAGUGGAGAAUAUGUUCUCAAGGGAAAUGCUUUGCUGUCAGCCCAUAGGGUCAGGCUUCUGACAGAUUAUGUGGCCGAUUUGUCACUCACUGCCAAGAUUUUAAAAGUGUCUAUCGCAGAGUAUGCUUUGCACAUCUGUUGUAUUAUAAGCACAGUGUUAGCUCUCUCCGAAGCUGUCAAGAUAGGAGGAUGUUGCUAUGUUCUCUGAAACAGCCCCUCUGGGUGAUUUUUAAAUGGCAGAGUGUUGGGAUUCUGAAAUGAGGUGAGAUCCCAGAAGAACUAACAAAAACAUUGAAUGAAUAAGUCUGUCCUCCAACAUUAGCUGAGUGUUCAGUGUGCCCAGCAUUCUAGCAAUAGAGUCCAUGUCUAUUACAUCAUAAAUAUUAUGUCCAAGUCCCUUUAAAAUUGCUUUAACGUCUUAAACUAGUAACGGAAAGUAAAUGGGUAAAAAUGGUGGUAUGUUUCUGAUGAGACUUCUAGGCAUGUUUGUAAAAUGAGUUUAGGUGCCUGAAGGAAUAAAUAUUUAAAGUAU